rnacentral:rRNA from 1 species
GACGAACGCUGGCGGCGUGCUUAACACAUGCAAGUCGAACGGAAAGGCCCUGCUUUUGUGGGGUGCUCGAGUGGCGAACGGGUGAGUAACACGUGAGUAACCUGCCCUUGACUUUGGGAUAACUUCAGGAAACUGGGGCUAAUACCGGAUAGGAGCUCCUGCUGCAUGGUGGGGGUUGGAAAGUUUCGGCGGUUGGGGAUGGACUCGCGGCUUAUCAGCUUGUUGGUGGGGUAGUGGCUUACCAAGGCUUUGACGGGUAGCCGGCCUGAGAGGGUGACCGGCCACAUUGGGACUGAGAUACGGCCCAGACUCCUACGGGAGGCAGCAGUGGGGAAUAUUGCACAAUAGGCGGAAGCCUGAUGCAGCAACGCCGCGUGCGGGAUGACGGCCUUCGGGUUGUAAACCGCUUUCGCCUGUGACGAAGCGUGAGUGACGGUAAUGGGUAAAGAAGCACCGGCUAACUACGUGCCAGCAGCCGCGGUGAUACGUAGGGUGCGAGCGUUGUCCGGAUUUAUUGGGCGUAAAGGGCUCGUAGGUGGUUGAUCGCGUCGGAAGUGUAAUCUUGGGGCUUAACCCUGAGCGUGCUUUCGAUACGGGUUGACUUGAGGAAGGUAGGGGAGAAUGGAAUUCCUGGUGGAGCGGUGGAAUGCGCAGAUAUCAGGAGGAACACCAGUGGCGAAGGCGGUUCUCUGGGCCUUUCCUGACGCUGAGGAGCGAAAGCGUGGGGAGCGAACAGGCUUAGAUACCCUGGUAGUCCACGCUGUAAACGGUGGGUACUAGGUGUGGGGUCCAUUCCACGGGUUCCGUGCCGUAGCUAACGCUUUAAGUACCCCGCCUGGGGAGUACGGCCGCAAGGCUAAAACUCAAAGGGAUUGACGGGGCCCCGCACAAGCGGCGGAGCAUGCGGAUUAAUUCGAUGCAACGCGUAGAACCUUACCUGGGUUUGACAUGGAUCGGGAGUGCUCAGAGAUGGGUGUGCCUCUUUUGGGGUCGGUUCACAGGUGGUGCAUGGCUGUCGUCAGCUCGUGUCGUGAGAUGUUGGGUUAAGUCCCGCAACGAGCGCAACCCUUGUUCACUGUUGCCAGCACGUUAUGGUGGGGACUCAGUGGAGACCGCCGGGGUCAACUCGGAGGAAGGUGGGGAUGACGUCAAGUCAUCAUGCCCCUUAUGUCCAGGGCUUCACGCAUGCUACAAUGGCUGGUACAGAGAGUGGCGAGCCUGUGAGGGUGAGCGAAUCUCGGAAAGCCGGUCUCAGUUCGGAUUGGGGUCUGCAACUCGACCUCAUGAAGUCGGAGUCGCUAGUAAUCGCAGAUCAGCAACGCUGCGGUGAAUACGUUCCCGGGGCUUGUACACACCGCCCGUCAAGUCAUGAAAGUUGGUAACACCCGAAGCCGGUGGCCUAACCGUUGUGGGGGAGCCGUCGAAGGUGGGACUGGUGAUUAGG